rnacentral:pre_miRNA from 1 species
AAUAAGUGCAGUUUUACACUAUUCACGUUUAACAUUUGACCGUUCAUCUUAUUUGAAAAUUUUUUAUGAUUAAUAUUUUUAUUGCUAUUAAAUGAUAAAACAUGAAUAGUACUUUAUGCGUGACUAAAUAUUUUCAAAUUUUUCAUAAAUGUUUUAAAUAAGACGAAUGGUCAAAUGUUGGACACGGAUAUCUACGGCUACACUUGGU